UCAUGCUGUGCAAAUCUGAACUCAAAGUAGAUGGCUGCAAUUUGAAAGGCAGUUUGGCUUAUGUGUACUUAAGAAGCAGCUUUGUUCAUUCAGAAGACAAAGCACGGAGCAGGGAGCCGGGUGGCUGUUGGUGCUCGCCCUGCCGCUGACUCCCGGUGUGGCCUUCUCCGAAUCACUCGGCCUCCUGGCCUUGGCUCCCCCACCAGGGGACGUCAUGCGGCCUGGUCAUCGGCCUUGACACAGGCGUGCGGUGUCUCUGGACGACUGCUGGCACCGCAGCCCGCGACAAAAUGGGGAAUGAGCAGGAGCUCCAAAGUCAGAGGCUUUCUGUUGUGGGAGAGGAGAGGAGGACAAGGCGUGAGCUGGUUCCUAAUUCCGUGUUUCGUCACAGCUGAGGAAGAAAUCAUUAGAGAUGCAGCUGCUUGCAUGCAAGAGCCUGUGCAUGAGGCCAGCGCCACAGAUGAUGGUAUUUGA
rnacentral:lncRNA from 1 species